GAUGAACGCUGGCGGCGUGCCUAAUACAUGCAAGUCGAGCGAAUGGAUUGAGAGCUUGCUCUUAUGAAGUUAGCGGCGGACGGGUGAGUAACACGUGGGUAACCUGCCCAUAAGACUGGGAUAACUCCGGGAAACCGGGGCUAAUUCCGGAUAACAUUUUGAACCGCAUGGUUCGAAAUUGAAAGGCGGCUUCGGCUGUCACUUAUGGAUGGACCCGCGUCGCAUUAGCUAGUUGGUGAGGUAACGGCUCACCAAGGCAACGAUGCGUAGCCGACCUGAGAGGGUGGUCGGCCACCCUGGGACUGCGACACGGCCCAGACUCCUACGGGAGGCAGCAGUAGGGAAUCUUCCGCAAUGGACGAAAGUCUGACGGAGCAACGCCGCGUGAGUGAUGAAGGCUUUCGGGUCGUAAAACUCUGUUGUUAGGGAAGAACAAGUGCUAGUUGAAUAAGCUGGCACCUUGACGGUGCCUAACCAGAAAGCCACGGCUAACUACGUGCCAGCAGCCGCCGCUG
rnacentral:rRNA from 1 species